rnacentral:rRNA from 1 species
AGAGUUUGAUCAUGGCUCAGGACGAACGCUGGCGGCGCGCUUCAUCCAUGCAAGUCGAACGAGCCCGGGACUUCGGUCCCAAUGGGAAAGUGGCGAACGGGUGAGUAACACGUGAGAAACCUACCCCGGAGAUGGGAAUAGCCCAGGGAAACCUGGAUUAAUACCCAAUACCCUGCUUGCACCUCAUGGUGCGCUCAGGAAAUGCUUUUGUGCUCCGGGAGGGUCUCGCGGCCUAUCAGCUUGUUGGUGAGGUAAUGGCUCACCAAGGCAUCGACGGGUAGCUGGUCUGAGAGGACGAUCAGCCACACUGGGACUGAGACACGGCCCAGACUCCUACGGGAGGCAGCAGGAGGGAAUAUUGCGCAAUGGGCGAAAGCCUGACGCAGCGACGCCGCGUGGGGGAAGAAGGCCUUCGGGUCGUAAACCCCUUUCAGCAGGGACGAAAUUGACGGUACCUGCAGAAGAAGCGCCGGCCAACUACGUGCCAGCAGCCGCGGUAAUACGUAGGGCGCAAGCGUUGUCCGGAUUCAUUGGGCGUAAAGGGCUCGUAGGCGGUUU